rnacentral:rRNA from 1 species
GCAGUCAGAGGCGAUGAAGGACGUGCUAAUCUGCGAUAAGCGUCGGUAAGGUGAUAUGAACCGUUAUAACCGGCGAUUUCCGAAUGGGGAAACCCAGUGUGAUUCGUCACACUAUCAUUAACUGAAUCCAUAGGUUAAUGAGGCGAACCGGGGGAACUGAAACAUCUAAGUACCCCGAGGAAAAGAAAUCAACCGAGAUUCCCCCAGUAGCGGCGAGCGAACGGGGAGCAGCCCAGAGCCUGAAUCAGUGUGUGUGUUAGUGGAAGCGUCUGGAAAGGCGUGCGAUACAGGGUGACAGCCCCGUACACAAAAAUGCACAUACUGUGAGCUCGAUGAGUAGGGCGGGACACGUGGUAUCCUGUCUGAAUAUGGGGGGACCAUCCUCCAAGGCUAAAUACUCCUGACUGACCGAUAGUGAACCAGUACCGUGAGGGAAAGGCGAAAAGAACCCCGGCGAGGGGAGUGAAAAAGAACCUGAAACCGUGUACGUACAAGCAGUGGGAGCACGCUUAGGCGUGUGACUGCGUACCUUUUGUAUAAUGGGUCAGCGACUUAUAUUCUGUAGCAAGGUUAACCGAAUAGGGGAGCCGAAGGGAAACCGAGUCUUAACUGGGCGUUAAGUUGCAGGGUAUAGACCCGAAACCCGGUGAUCUAGCCAUGGGCAGGUUGAAGGUUGGGUAACACUAACUGGAGGACCGAACCGACUAAUGUUGAAAAAUUAGCGGAUGACUUGUGGCUGGGGGUGAAAGGCCAAUCAAACCGGGAGAUAGCUGGUUCUCCCCGAAAGCUAUUUAGGUAGCGCCUCGUGAAUUCAUCUCCGGGGGUAGAGCACUGUUUCGGCAAGGGGGUCAUCCCGACUUACCAACCCGAUGCAAACUGCGAAUACCGGAGAAUGUUAUCACGGGAGACACACGGCGGGUGCUAACGUCCGUCGUGAAGAGGGAAACAACCCAGACCGCCAGCUAAGGUCCCAAAGUCAUGGUUAAGUGGGAAACGAUGUGGGAAGGCCCAGACAGCCAGGAUGUUGGCUUAGAAGCAGCCAUCAUUUAAAGAAAGCGUAAUAGCUCACUGGUCGAGUCGGCCUGCGCGGAAGAUGUAACGGGGCUAAACCAUGCACCGAAGCUGCGGCAGCGACGCUUAUGCGUUGUUGGGUAGGGGAGCGUUCUGUAAGCCUGUGAAGGUGUGCUGUGAGGUAUGCUGGAGGUAUCAGAAGUGCGAAUGCUGACAUAAGUAACGAUAAAGCGGGUGAAAAGCCCGCUCGCCGGAAGACCAAGGGUUCCUGUCCAACGUUAAUCGGGGCAGGGUGAGUCGACCCCUAAGGCGAGGCCGAAAGGCGUAGUCGAUGGGAAACAGGUUAAUAUUCCUGUACUUGGUGUUACUGCGAAGGGGGGACGGAGAAGGCUAUGUUGGCCGGGCGACGGUUGUCCCGGUUUAAGCGUGUAGGCUGGUUUUCCAGGCAAAUCCGGAAAAUCAAGGCCGAGGCGUGAUGACGAGGCACUACGGUGCUGAAGCAACAAAUGCCCUGCUUCCAGGAAAAGCCUCUAAGCAUCAGGUAACAUCAAAUCGUACCCCAAACCGACACAGGUGGUCAGGUAGAGAAUACCAAGGCGCUUGAGAGAACUCGGGUGAAGGAACUAGGCAAAAUGGUGCCGUAACUUCGGGAGAAGGCACGCUGAUACGUAGGUGAAGCGACUUGCUCGUGGAGCUGAAAUCAGUCGAAGAUACCAGCUGGCUGCAACUGUUUAUUAAAAACACAGCACUGUGCAAACACGAAAGUGGACGUAUACGGUGUGACGCCUGCCCGGUGCCGGAAGGUUAAUUGAUGGGGUUAGCGCAAGCGAAGCUCUUGAUCGAAGCCCCGGUAAACGGCGGCCGUAACUAUAACGGUCCUAAGGUAGCGAAAUUCCUUGUCGGGUAAGUUCCGACCUGCACGAAUGGCGUAAUGAUGGCCAGGCUGUCUCCACCCGAGACUCAGUGAAAUUGAACUCGCUGUGAAGAUGCAGUGUACCCGCGGCAAGACGGAAAGACCCCGUGAACCUUUACUAUAGCUUGACACUGAACAUUGAGCCUUGAUGUGUAGGAUAGGUGGGAGGCUUUGAAGUGUGGACGCCAGUCUGCAUGGAGCCGACCUUGAAAUACCACCCUUUAAUGUUUGAUGUUCUAACGUGGACCCGUGAUCCGGGUUGCGGACAGUGUCUGGUGGGUAGUUUGACUGGGGCGGUCUCCUCCUAAAGAGUAACGGAGGAGCACGAAGGUUGGCUAAUCCUGGUCGGACAUCAGGAGGUUAGUGCAAUGGCAUAAGCCAGCUUGACUGCGAGCGUGACGGCGCGAGCAGGUGCGAAAGCAGGUCAUAGUGAUCCGGUGGUUCUGAAUGGAAGGGCCAUCGCUCAACGGAUAAAAGGUACUCCGGGGAUAACAGGCUGAUACCGCCCAAGAGUUCAUAUCGACGGCGGUGUUUGGCACCUCGAUGUCGGCUCAUCACAUCCUGGGGCUGAAGUAGGUCCCAAGGGUAUGGCUGUUCGCCAUUUAAAGUGGUACGCGAGCUGGGUUUAGAACGUCGUGAGACAGUUCGGUCCCUAUCUGCCGUGGGCGCUGGAGAACUGAGGGGGGCUGCUCCUAGUACGAGAGGACCGGAGUGGACGCAUCACUGGUGUUCGGGUUGUCAUGCCAAUGGCACUGCCCGGUAGCUAAAUGCGGAAGAGAUAAGUGCUGAAAGCAUCUAAGCACGAAACUUGCCCCGAGAUGAGUUCUCCCUGACCCUUUAAGGGUCCUGAAGGAACGUUGAAGACGACGACGUUGAUAGGCCGGGUGUGUAAGCGCAGCGAUGCGUUGAGCUAACCGGUACUAAUGAACCGUGAGGCUUAACCUUACAACGCCGAAG